UACGUAGGUGACGAGCGUUAUCCGGAUUUAUUGGGCGUAAAGCGCACGCAGGCGGCAGAGAAAGUCUGACGUGAAAUCUCCCGGCUUAACUGGGAGCGGUCGUUGGAAACUACUUGGCUUGAGGCGAUGAGAGGGGUGUGGAGUUCCCGGUGUAGUGGUGGAAUGCGUAGAUAUCGGGAGGAACACCAGUGGCGAAGGCGGUUGCCUGGACCAAUACUGACACUGAGGAGCGAAAGCCAGGGGAGCAAACGGG
rnacentral:rRNA from 1 species